rnacentral:rRNA from 1 species
CUACGGAGGGGGUUAGCGUUGUUCGGAAUUACUGGGCGUAAAGCGCACGUAGGCGGACUGGAAAGUUGGGGGUGAAAUCCCGGGGCUCAACCCCGGAACUGCCUCCAAAACUUCCAAUCUAGAGAUCGAGAGAGGUGAGUGGAAUUCCAAGUGUAGAGGUGAAAUUCGUAGAUAUUUGGAGGAACACCAGUGGCGAAGGCGGCUCUCUGGCCCGAUACUGACGCUGAGGUGCGAAAGCGUGGGGAGCAAACAGGAUUAGAAACCCUAGUAGUCC